AAAUUGAAGAGUUUGAUCAUGGCUCAGAUUGAACGCUGGCGGCAGGCCUAACACAUGCAAGUCGAGCGGUAGCACAGAGAGCUUGCUCUCGGGUGACGAGCGGCGGACGGGUGAGUAAUGUCUGGGAAACUGCCUGAUGGAGGGGGAUAACUACUGGAAACGGUAGCUAAUACCGCAUAACGUCGCAAGACCAAAGUGGGGGACCUUCGGGCCUCAUGCCAUCAGAUGUGCCCAGAUGGGAUUAGCUAGUAGGUGGGGUAAUGGCUCACCUAGGCGACGAUCCCUAGCUGGUCUGAGAGGAUGACCAGCCACACUGGAACUGAGACACGGUCCAGACUCCUACGGGAGGCAGCAGUGGGGAAUAUUGCACAAUGGGCGCAAGCCUGAUGCAGCCAUGCCGCGUGUGUGAAGAAGGCCUUCGGGUUGUAAAGCACUUUCAGCGGGGAGGAAGGCGAUAAGGUUAAUAACCUUGGCGAUUGACGUUACCCGCAGAAGAAGCACCGGCUAACUCCGUGCCAGCAGCCGCGGUAAUACGGAGGGUGCAAGCGUU
rnacentral:rRNA from 1 species